rnacentral:rRNA from 1 species
UGGGGAAUAUUGCGCAAUGGAGGAAACUCUGACGCAGCAACGCCGCGUGAGUGACGAAGGUCUUCGGAUUGUAAAGCUCUGUCUUCAGGGACGAUAAUGACGGUACCUGAGGAGGAAGCCACGGCUAACUACGUGCCAGCAGCCGCGGUAAUACGUAGGUGGCAAGCGUUGUCCGGAUUUAUUGGGCGUAAAGCAUGCGUAGGCGGAUACUUAAGUGGGAUGUGAAAACCCGGGGCUCAACUCCGGACCUGCAUUCCAAACUGGGUGUCUAGAGUACAGGAGAGGAAAGGGGAAUUCCUAGUGUAGCGGUGAAAUGCGUAGAGAUUAGGAAGAACACCAGUGGCGAAGGCGCCUUUCUGGACUGUAACUGACGCUGAGGCAUGAAAGCGUGGGUAGCAAA